UCCGUCGCGAUGCAACGGAGGCUGAUUGAGAUGAUCACGGUCCGAGUGUUUUUCAUGGGAUGCAUAAUAAAAUUUUCCAAAACAAAAAAGCAAAACAUUUCCUGAGCGAGCUUGAAAACUUCGUAAUUUCUAUAGUUUUAUUCUAGUUCUAGAAGUUUCGUAUAAUAUUUGGGAAAAAUCGAGUGCUGGAAAAUGCGGUAUUGAGCGGAAGAAUUUGAAAGUACUGCCAUGGAGGCAGACGAGGAGGAGGACGAUCUCCGGCAGACCGGGAACAGAAUUAGUUUAUUGCCCACUGAAAUCCACGCAAAGUAACAAACAACAGGGACAAAAAUAGAUUGUUCCAAACAUUGUCGGAUGCAGCCCAUCAGGAUUUCCUUCAACCUCCCGUGCGGUUUUUUGCUUUUUGCCUCAGCUUAGGUUCCGCGGUAUGGCAUUACUGACCAUAUUCCAAUCCUCUUGUUGUCCUCAGCGUUGGAUAGUAGUAGAGCGGAAUUGUUAUGUGUGUUCCUGGCCAUCAGUAAAUAUGGCACGGUUCAAAACCUAUCAUCGUCGUAUCGAGAGAUCUACCAGAACAGUCAGAAGAAACAGCUCCCAAAAAAACAUAAUCGCAACCAAGAUCGCAACCCGCUAUGCAUGUGAAAGAAUAUUUAAUUAAUCAAAUUUGUUUAAUAAAAUGUGUCUCGGUUUACAAU